rnacentral:rRNA from 1 species
UACGGGGGGGGGCAAGCGUUGUUCGGAAUUACUGGGCGUAAAGGGCUCGUAGGCGGCCAACUAAGUCAGACGUGAAAUCCCCGGGCUUAACCUGGGAACUGCGUCUGAUACUGGAUGGCUUGAAUUCGGGGAGAGGGAUGCAGAAUUCCAGGUGUAGCGGUGAAAUGCGUAGAUAUCUGGAGGAAUACCGGUGGCGAAGGCGGCAUCCUGGACCGACAUUGACGCUGAGGAGCGAAAGCUAGGGGAGCAAACGGG